ACACACACACACACACACACACACACACACACACACACACACACACACACAUGGGGAUGUGUGCUCAUACACACACACGAACACACACACACACAUACUUCCACAAACAAGUACACACACAAACACAUAAACACACACGCACACAAAGGCAAACACUGGGACACAUGGAGGUAAUAGGACAGAGAAUGAACACACCUUAUUGGUUUGAUCAGUUUUGGUGAGUGUAGAUGAAUAUGGUGAGUUUUGAAAAGUUUUAAUACUUGACAGAAACUUUUGAAUCGUUUUUUGACCAUUCUUGUCAUGAUGGUAUAAACCGUUUCAAAUGUUAUACAGUGCAUUCGAAAAGUAUACAGACCCUUUGACUUUUUGCACAUUAUGUUACGUUACAGCCUUCUUCAAAAAUGUAUUACAUUAAAUAUUUUCCUCACCAGUCUACACACAAUACCCAUAAUGACAGAGUGAAAACUGGUGUCAGACAUUUUUGCAAAUCUAUAAAAAAAAAUAAAAAAACAUAAAUAACUUAUAUACAUAAGUACUCAGACUCUUUGUUUUAAGUCUCAAAAUUGAGCUCAGGUGCAUCCUCUUUCCAUUGAUCAUCCUUGAGAUGUUUCGACAACUUGAUUGGAGUCCACCUGUGGUAAAUUCAAUUGAUUGGACAUGAUUUGGAAAGGCACACACCUGUCUAUAUAAGAUCCCACAGUUGACAGUGCAUGUCAGAGCAAAAACCAAGCCAUGAGGUCGAAGGAAUUGUCCGUAGAGCUCCGAGACAGGAUUGUGUAGUGACCAAGAACCUGAUGGUCACUCUGACAGAGCUCCAGACAUCCUCUGUGGAGAUGGGAGAACCUUCCAGAAGGACAAACAUCUCUGCAGCACUCCACCAAUCAGGCCUUUAUGGUAGAGUGGCUAGAUGGAAGCCACUCCUCAGUAAAAGGCACAUGACAGCCCGCUUGGAGUUUGCCAAAUGGCACCUAAAAGACUCUCAGACCAUGAGAAACAAGAUUCUCUGGUCGGAAUGCCAAGAGUCACGUCUGGAGGAAACAUGGCACCAUCUCUAAGGUGAAGCAUGGUGGUGGCAGCAUCAUACUGUGGGGAUGUUUUCAGUGGCAGGGACUGGGAGACUAGUCAGGAUCGAGGGAAAGAUGAACAGAGCAAAGUACAGAGAGAUCCUUAAUGAAAACCUGCUCCAGAGCACUAAAGACCUCUGACUGGGGAGAAGGUUUACCUUCCAACAGGACAAUGACCAGGACAAUUCUCAGAAUGUCCUUGAGUGGGCCAGCCAGAGCUCGGAAUUGAACCCGAUCUAACUUCUGUGGAGAGACCUGAAAAUAGCUGUGUAGCAACACUCCCCAUCCAAACUGACAGAUCUUGAGGGGAUCUGCAGAGAAGAAUGGGAGAAAAGAGGGACAGAGAGAAGUAAAGCGGGACAGAGACAGAGAGAAGUAAAGAGGGACAGAGACAGAGAGAAGUAAAGAGACAGAGAGAAGUAAAGAGGGAGAGAGACAGAGAGAAGUAAAGAGGGACAGAGAGAAGUAAAGAGGGACAGAGACAGAGAGAAGUAAAGAGGGAGAGAGACAGAGAGAAGUAGAGGGACAGAGACAGAGAGAAGUAGAGGGAGAGAUAGAAGUAAAGAGGGACAGAGAGAAGUAAAGAGGGACAGAGAGAAGUAAAGAGGGACAGAGACAGAGAAAAGUAAAGAGGGAGAGAGACAGAGAGAAGUAAAGAGGGUCAGAGACAGAGAGAAGUAAAGAGGGACAGAGACAGAGAAGUAAAGAGGGACAGAGAGAAGUAAAGAGGGACAGAGACAGAGAAGUAAAGAGGGACAGAGAGAAGUAAAGAGGGAGAGGGAGACAGAGAGAAGUAAAGAGGGGCAGAGACAGAGAAGUAAAGAGGGACAGAGAGAAGUAAAGAGGGACAGAGAGAAGUAAAGAGGGACAGAGACAGAGAGAAGUAAAGAGGGAGAGGGAGACAGAGAGAAGUAAAGAGGGACAGAGAGACGUAAAGAGGGAGAGAGAAACAGCGAGAAGUAAAGAAGGAGAGAGAGACAGAGAGAAGUAAAGAAGGAGAGAGACAGAGGCAGAGAGAAGGGGAUAGGUUGUGUAGCGGAAGAAAAGUUUGGAGAGGGAGAAAGACAGAGGGAGAAAGAGACAGAGAGAGCGAUGAAUGAGUGUGGUUGCCGGUAUCAAGAGAGGGCAGACAGCGGGUGUGGCGGCAGUGUGUGAGUGUGUGUGUGUGUGUGUGCCCAUGUCUGUGUGCAUGAGUCAAAGGAAAGGGAAGCAGGCUGCUGGGCCGUCUCCGAGCCGGAGUGGGCCGUUAAUUAAAUCUGAGGGACAGACAGGAGGGUUGACUCCCCCCUCCUCCUUCCUCUCCUCCCGUCCUCCCUCCACCGUCCGCCUCCCAGGCCUCUGGCUAC